AUCAGCUUAAUAGAAAUCAGCCUUUCAUAAGAAUGAGGAAAAUCCAUCAGCUGAAGGACUUGAAAAUUAUACAGAGCAAUAUAUAAGCUUAAUUUCAAAACCAUUUCCGAGCUGCCCGGCUGCCUAACAACGUGCCAGUGAAUGCAGGGGACGGAGCUGUUCCACUCCUGGGAAGCAUUUAAACAGCAUCUGCAUUUGUUCCUGACAAAGGAGCCACAGAGGCCACGUUUGCCUUAGGCGGGUGUUGGAAACGGAUCAAGUUGGAGGUCCGCUGCAUUCUAAGGUUCUGACGGUGUACUCAAUUAUCUCAUGGAGACGCAGGAUUCCGACCAAGGACGCUGAGGUCAGUGUGACAUCACAACAGCCAAAACAGAAACACGGGUGCCGGAGACUCGUAGGUGUAGGAGAUCAGGCCACAGCUCCUCUGUGCCUCUUUGAACUGCCUGGGGACGAAAGAGGGGACUGCAAACUUAUCAGGCUGGCCUAGACACGGAAGUAUUUCAGAGGCAGGGUCGCUGUGAAGGACCCCUGACUCACAGCCUCACCCUGAGCUUCCCAAAGGCCAUAGGAUAGGAGGUCAUGAGCUGCCUCAAGCCUGCAAAUGAAGCAUACUGCAGAGAAAAUUAAGUGGGCUUCCGGGUGAUAGGCAAGGGCUCUGACGAGAAGGCGCCCAUGAAGCUCAAGUCAGUGGGGGAAAGCCCGACAUCACUGCCUGAAAGCUUGUCACAGCUGAGACCUCGCACACGCCAAGGACACGUGCAGACGGCUGGGAUCCUCCUCUGCUGUGCCCACCCAAGGACAGCCAGCUCUUCUGCAGAGGCUUCUGCUGCUAUUCCCUGUUGCUGAUUAACCCCUUCCUAGGCCACAAGCACGUUCACUUGUCACGGCACGGCCUCAGCCCCUGCUGGGCAACACUGUGUGACCACUUGGACCUGAUUCCACAGCAGGCACGGGUGGUAAUUCUGAUAGCCUGGUAUAAAAUCUCUCCUUUGGGACCUUAAAUAAGACAGUAACUUACUACACUCAAUCUCUCCCUUCUAUCACAAGUGCUUCCCUUUGUGAAAAUUCAGGACCAGGCACUGGGAAAGAGAACCACGGCACACGGCACAGAA